UGGGGAAUAUUGCACAAUGGGCGAAAGCCUGAUGCAGCAACGCCGCGUGAGUGAUGAAGGCCUUCGGGUUGUAAAGCUCUGUCUUUUGGGACGAUAAUGACGGUACCAAAGGAGGAAGCCACGGCUAACUACGUGCCAGCAGCCGCGGUAAUACGUAGGUGGCAAGCGUUGUCCGGAUUUACUGGGCGUAAAGGAUGCGUAGGCGGAUUUUUAAGUGAGAUGUGAAAUACCCGGGCUUAACUUGGGUGCUGCAUUUCAAACUGGGAAUCUAGGUGCGGGAGAGGAGAAUGGAAUUCCUAGUGUAGCGGUGAAAUGCGUAGAGAUUAGGAAGAACACCAGUGGCGAAGGCGAUUCUCUGGACCGUAACUGACGCUGAGGCAUGAAAGCGUGGGUAGCAAACAGGAUUAGAUACCCUGGUAGUCCACGCCGUAAACGAUGAGUACUAGGUGUAGGAGGUAUCGACCCCUUCUGUGCCGCAGUUAACACAAUAAGUACUCCGCCUGGGAAGUACGAUCGCAAGAUUAAAACUCAAAGAAUUGACGGGGUCAUAGCUGUUUUCCU
rnacentral:rRNA from 1 species